rnacentral:rRNA from 1 species
CCUACGGGAGGCAGCAGUGGGGAAUAUUUCACAAUGGGGGAAACCCUGAUGCAGCAACGCCGCGUGAAGGAAGAAGUUUUUCGGUAUGUACACUUCUAUCAGCAGGGAAGAAAAUGACGGUACCUAACUAAUAAGCCCCGGCUAACUCCGUGCCAGCAGCCGCGGUAAUACGUAGGGUGCAAGCGUUAUCCGGAUUUACUGGGUGUAAAGUGCGCGUAGGCGGCGAUGCAAGUCAGAAGUGAAAGCCCAUGGCUGAACCAUGGAACUGCAUUUGAAACUGUUUUGCUAGAUUGCAGGAGAGGUAAGUGGAAUUCUUGGUGUAGCGGUGAAAUGCGUAGAGAUUAGGAGGAACACCAGUGGCGAAGGCGGCUUACUGGACUGUAAAUGACGCUGAGGCGCGAAAGCGUGGGGAGCAAACAGGAUUAGAUACCCUGGUAGUC